CCUACGGGAGGCAGCAGUAGGGAAUCUUUCACAAUGGGCGAAAGCCUGAUGGAGCAACGCCGCGUGCAGGAAGAAGGCCUUCGGGUUGUAAACUGCUUUUAUAAGCGAGAAAUAUGAUGGUAACUUAUGAAUAAGGAGCGGCUAACUACGUGCCAGCAGCAGCGGUCAUACGUAGGAUCCGAGAAUUAUCCGGAGUGACUGGUUGUAAAGAGUUACGUAGGUUGCAUAAUAAGUAGCUAGUGAAAACUGGUGGCUCAACCAUUCAGACUAUUAGCUAAACUGUUAAGCUCGAGAGCGUUAGGGGUAAGUGGAAUUUCUAGGGUAGGAGUGAAAUGCGUAGAUAUUAGAAGGAACACCAAUGGCGUAGGCAGGUUGCUGGGACGGUUCUGACACUAAGGCACGAAAGCGUAGGGAGCAAACGGGAUUAGAUACCCUUGUAGUC
rnacentral:rRNA from 1 species